UCGAACGUGGUUCGCGGUAGGCCCUCUGUAAUGACGACACAAAUACAUAGAAAAUGACACACGUCAAAGACAAAUCUUGCAAACCUCGAUCUCUUUUUGUGUACGGACGAGUGACUAGUGUCACAACACGCACACUAACACAUUUUCGUUGAAGUAUGUCAUUGUAUUCUGAGAGAUGAGAAGUCGGAUUUGUCGCUCGACCGAUCCGCAAUUUGUACUGAGCGAGCAAAAUCGAUAAAUCCAACAAUUACUUGAGACUAAAAUAUAAUAAUUGUAUUUAAAUGUAAUUAAACGUAUGAUAUGUAAAAAAAAAUAUUACAUGUGAAAUGUAACACUUUCAUUUUGUAAACUUGAUGUCCCCGACCUCUUUUUAUAACAAAAAACCGAGCAAACAGGCAUUUUUGUGCAGCAGUGUUCACGCGCGCGUCUGGACUCGGUCUAGUGAAAAAUCCAAGUGCAACUAGUUUUAUUACCCGCGCUAGAUUAGAUUGACAGCGCUAUUACAUUUCGGGGUUGAGCGAGUUUAGGUAUUUUACGCGCUGCGGCAGGCCGUGCGAGCUCAGUAUUCCGAUCCCUUCUACCACACUCGCACUACAAUGAUGGAUUAAACAUUCUUGAUCCUUCGCGAAGCAUAUUGAAAUCAACCAUAACAACAUUAACUGUACUUAACUUUUAAAGUCCUAAAACUGUUAUUUGGUAAGUACGAAAAUAUUAAAUGCAGUGCAAAUGUACAUAGGGGCUGUUCAUAAAUUACGUCAUCUAUUUUUGACGAUUUUUGACCGGGGCCCCACCCCUCAAAUCAUCCAAAAAUCAUGCUUCGGAUGACUCUGUUUCCUCCUACGUCAUGCUACCAUCAUCCGAUGUCCAGACCCCCCCCCCCUCCUUCCAUUUGAAACGACGUAAUUUAUGAAUAGUCCCAUACUCGUACUUAUGAAGGUAUAUUACUCGAAAGAAAUUAUAGGUACUCGCUUAUUUACAUGUUUCGUCAUUGCAUUUGGUACCUAUAGGUUGUAAAGUUUGUAUCAACGAGGGUUUAAAAACGAACUGAUCUGAUGAUAAUGGUGAUGAUUAAGGUGGUCACGGAUACCAAUCAACCAUGUAGUAACAUGAUUAGGCUCGUUUGAUUCGUCUCAAUAAGAUCUUUGACACUGAAGAUACACAGGGUCUGAUGAUGGAGCUGGAAGGUGGCCACGGGUACCAGUCUAUCAUGUAACUAAACAACUUCGUGUUUGGGCUCGUUUGAUUCGUCUUAACAAGAUCUUUGACACAAGACAGUACUCAGGGUCUGAUGAUGGAGCUGGAAGGUGGUCACCAUUACCAAUCAACCAUGCAACUAAACCACAUCGUGUUUAGGCUCGUUUGAUUCGUCUCAACAAGAUCUUUGACUCUAGGUGAUACUCAGACUCUGAUGAUGGAGCUGGAAGGUGAUCACCGGUACCAAUCAA